CUCUAUAUCACAGUCAUGGUUACCAUAUACAGUCACGAACUCUUAUAUCAGUCUGCAUUGUUUUGUAGCGAAAUUUCUUAUCCAGAUGUUCAUAAACGUGCAUGGUUUGAAAUAAAACAAAUCUACCUGCAUUUUUUAAAAAUUAGUUUGCAAAAAAUAAAACGAAGCAAUGCCUUCUGGGAAUUUCGAGACUGACUCGAGUGGACCGUCUGCGGGGUUGUUGAAAGUUAGAAGUUGGAAGUUGGAAGUUGACUGAGAUUAAUCUAGCAAAAAUUUGAAUCAAGGCAUCAAGUGACACAAGGAGGGGAGCGGAGAAAAGAGAGGGAAAUCUCAGAGAGCACUGUUGGCUGACGUCGAAAAAUGCUGCUAACUGACUGAGUGGUUUUUAAAAUCAAGUGCAGCUUGAGCUAGCACUAGCGCUAAUACUGCUAGCACUAAUGUUAGCGACACAGCUGAGCCAGAACACCUGGGAGAGAGACAGGACAGUGAGGAAUAUGAGCCAGAGGAGGAUGAAGAGGUGGACAUGGAGAACUGCGUGAAGCUGCGAAAUUGCUCAUCCUUUUAAAAAGAAAUCCAUCAGUGCCUUGGAGAGAGGGAACGUGAAUCGUAUGCGGGAAAGAGGGAGCAGGCGCAUCUCAGAUUUUCAUCCACGACAUCAGUGAUCCUCUCUGAAUUCCUCAACAUGGCAUAAUCCCCAGCCAGCGGGGAAAUGUGAGAAACUUUGCAAAGUAAUUUACACUCUAAUGUCUAUUUUCCCCAAGAACAGCAAUGGGACGCAAUUUAAGGAUAGCACUCACAUAUUCCUUAUUUUUCUAAGAUAAUACCAAGAGGCUUAUGUUGAGUUCAAUCAACUUAUUGUUUUUUUUCCCUUGAACAGUCAUGCUCAGAAUAGACAAGUAACAUCAGGCUGAAUGAAUGGUUUCCUACUUUCGAAGUUGUUCUGCGUGCAAUCAAAAGUUUGAAACGCACUCUGAGAAGUAUCAGGCAAUCAGUUUCUGAUAAAUAUAGAUAUUUACAGAUGCCGGCUGUUUUUCAUGUAAUUUGUCGCAGGAAGUCUGUGUGAUUGCCUCUCAUGAGGGAAGGAUCACGCUGUCUGUCAGAUUGGUGGGGAUGGCCGGGUUGGAUUGUCAGAAGCCUGCGGCCUGAGCCAAAAAGAAAAUGGCUAAACCAAGGUAAAGCUACUUUGUCAAGAUAAGUCUAUCAAGGGGACACAAUACACCUCUUUUGUUUGUAACCUCUCAUGCCCCACAGUGGAAGGGCCUCAAUAAAUCAUGUGGCAAAGUGAUAGUGGUAGGAGUCUGAUGGAGGGAGUUGAAGGGGCACAGAGAGUUGAAGGUUCCACAUGAUGGCAGAUUGAUUUAUCUUGUAGUCACUUAUGUUUUGGAGGACAAAGCAGUGAGGACGAUAGAACAACUCUAGGUGCGUGGACUGGAUCAUUAUAGGAGUCUUCCUGCGCCUCAUGAGAGCAAUGAUCUUAAUCUCUGAGGCACUAGAGGAUACACUUAAGGGGCGUGCCCUUGGCUCAUUGAAGUCUCAAUUUGAAUCUCAAACAGCUCUCCAGCAGGAAUGACACGUCUUACGC